rnacentral:rRNA from 1 species
AGGAUGAACGGCUGGCGCGUGCCAAUACAUGCAAGUCGAGCGAACCACGUUACGGUGGGAAGCGGCGAACGGGUAGAGUAACGACGUAGGUGAUCUGCCCAUCAGACGGGGACAACGAUUGGAAACGAUACGCUAAUACCGGAUAGGACGAAAGUUUAAGAUGCUCCUGGCAUCACUGAUGGAUGAGCCUGCGGCGCAUUAGGCUAGGUUGGUGGGGUAAAGGCCUACCAAGGCGACGAUGCGUAGCCGACCUGAGAGGGUGAACGGCCACACUGGGACUGAGACACGGCCCAGACUCUACGGGAGGCAGCAGUAGGGAAUCUUCGGCAAUGGGCGAAAGCCUGACCGAGCAACGCCGCGUGAAUGAAGAAGGCCUUCGGGUUGUAAAAUUCUGUUAUAAGGGAAGAAAGGUGAUAGGAGGAAAUGACUAUCAAUUGACGGUACCUUAUGAGAAAGCCACGGCUAACUACGUG